AAUCAUCUGUCUUCAAUUUUUCACACUCCAAAUCCAAAAUUUCAACUCACUCUAUGCCCAAACAUAAUUCUAGAAGUGUCACGUCUUCCCUCCCUCUUGUUCCAACAACUAUGAAUCGAUUUGCAAUUCUUCCUGAUUCCAGGUUGUGCUUGCUACUCGACUAUUCUCCAAAACAGAACAACCUUCAGUUCUCCUCCUUCAACUUUAAAGAAUACUUAGGAGCGUCCUCUUUCAGCGUCAUCACUAAGUGUGAGAUUUCAUUAGUACGUGACCGUUAGGAAUCAUGGUUACGCUAGGCUUCCAUGCCUCCAACUCUGCCAUUUGGACUCACAAGGACGAUUUAAUAUAUCAGCCCUUCCAAUAUCAAUUCAAUGAACAAGGUCCGAGCACUAGUAGCCAGCGUUGAUCGAGCUUGGAGUAGACUUAUCCGGAGACGGGGGUGAGCACACGGCGUUUUGUACUAUUUCAGUCUCCAUCUGUAUAUAUAGACUUGUCUUUUUUUCCUUUCGAGACAGUCCAGUCUCUGUUGUCCAGUUUUGGAACUUCUACUCAUUUUGUAGUAGCUCUGUACUGGUGACUUUCAGGUUCUGGGAGAGAUCUUUAUUUGUAUAUAUGUUUUGGGUUGCUUCCGCCUGUUUAUGUUGUUA